rnacentral:rRNA from 1 species
AGGACACGCUGGCGGCGUGCUUAACACAUGCAAGUCGAACGGACGAGUGAGAUAAGUUUACUUAACUCACAAGUUAGUGGCGGACGGGUGAGUAACACGUGGAUAAUCUACCUGCAACACCGGGAUAACGCUGUGAAAACGGUGCUAAUACCGGAUACGUUCCCUUGUGCGCAUGUAUGAGGGAAGAAAGCUCAGGCGGUUGCAGAUGAGUCCGCGGCUGAUUAGCUAGUUGGUGAGGUAAAGGCUCACCAAGGCGAUGAUCAGUAGCCGGCCUGAGAGGGUGAACGGCCACACUGGGACUGAGACACGGCCCAGACUCCUACGGGAGGCAGCAGUGGGGAAUCUUCCGCAAUGGGCGCAAGCCUGACGGAGCAACGCCGCGUGGGUGAAGAAGGCCUUCGGGUUGUAAAGCCCUGUCUUAUGGGAAGAAGUCAGUGACGGUACCAUAGGAGGAAGCCACGGCUAACUACGUG